CCUACGGGAGGCAGUAGUCGAGAAUCAUUCACAAUGGGGGAAACCCUGAUGGUGCGACGCCGCGUGGGGGAAUGAAGGUCUUCGGAUUGUAAACCCCUGUCAUGUGGGAGCAAAUUAAAAAGAUAGUACCACAAGAGGAAGAGACGGAUAACUCUGUGCCAGCAGCCGCGGUAAUACAGAGGUCUCAAGCGUUGUUCGGAAUCACUGGGCGUAAGGGGUGCGUAGGCUGUUUCGUAAGUCGUGUGUGAAAGGCGCGGGCUCAACCCGCGGACGGCACAUGAUACUGCGAGACUAGAGUAAUGGAGGGGGAACCGGAAUUCUCGGUGUAGCAGUGAAAUGCGUAGAUAUCGAGAGGAACACUCGUGGCGAAGGCGGGUUCCUGGACAUUAACUGACGCUGAGGCACGAAGGCCAGGGGAGCGAAAGGGAUUAGAUACCCUUGUAGUC
rnacentral:rRNA from 1 species